GACGAACGCCGGCGGCGUGCUUAACACAUGCAAGUCGAACGGAAGGGCCCUGCUUUUGUGGGGUGCUCGAGUGCCGAACGGGUGAGUACACGUGAGUAACCUGCCCUUGACUUUGGGAUAACUUCAGGAAACUGGGGCUAAUACCGGAUAGGAGCUCCUGCUGCAUGGUGGGGGUUGGAAAGUUUCGGCGGUUGGGGAUGGACUGGAGGCUUAUCAGUUUGUUGGUGGGGUAGUGGCUUACCAAGGCUUUGACGGAUAGCCGGCCUGAGAGGGUGACCAGCCACAUUGGGACUGCGAUACGGACCAGAAUCCUACGGGAGGCAGCAGGGGAGAAUAUGGCGCAAUGGGCGGAAGCCUGAUGCAGCAACGCCGCGUGCGUGAUGACGGCCUUCGGGUUGUAAACCGCUUUCUCCUGUGACGAAGAGUUAGUGACGGUAAUGGGUAAAGAAGCACCGGCUAACUACGUG
rnacentral:rRNA from 1 species